rnacentral:rRNA from 1 species
GGGGUACGCUGGACGGCGUGCUAGUAAUGCAAGUCGAGCGAACAGACAAGGAGCUUGCUCCUUUGACGUUAGCGGCGGACGGGUGAGUAACACGUGGGUAACCUACCUAUAAGACUGGGAUAACUUCGGGAAACCGGAGCUAAUACCGGAUAAUAUUUCGAACCGCAUGGUUCGAUAGUGAAAGAUGGUUUUGCUAUCACUUAUAGAUGGACCCGCGCCGUAUUAGCUAGUUGGUAAGGUAACGGCUUACCAAGGCGACGAUACGUAGCCGACCUGAGAGGGUGAUCGGCCACACUGGAACUGAGACACGGUCCAGACUCCUACGGGAGGCAGCAGUAGGGAAUCUUCCGCAAUGGGCGAAAGCCUGACGGAGCAACGCCGCGUGAGUGAUGAAGGUCUUCGGAUCGUAAAACUCUGUUAUUAGGGAAGAACAUACGUGUAAGUAACUAUGCACGUCUUGACGGUACCUAAUCAGAAAGCCACGGCUAACUACGUGCCAGCAGCCGCGGUAAUACGUAGGUGGCAAGCGUUAUCCGGAAUUAUUGGGCGUAAAGCGCGCGUAGGCGGUUUUUUAAGUCUGAUGUGAAAGCCCACGGCUCAACCGUGGAGGGUCAUUGGAAACUGGAAAACUUGAGUGCAGAAGAGGAAAGUGGAAUUCCAUGUGUAGCGGUGAAAUGCGCAGAGAUAUGGAGGAACACCAGUGGCGAAGGCGACUUUCUGGUCUGUAACUGACGCUGAUGUGCGAAAGCGUGGGGAUCAAACAGGAUUAGAUACCCUGGUAGUCCACGCCGUAAACGAUGAGUGCUAAGUGUUAGGGGGUUUCCGCCCCUUAGUGCUGCAGCUAACGCAUUAAGCACUCCGCCUGGGGAGUACGACCGCAAGGUUGAAACUCAAAGGAAUUGACGGGGACCCGCACAAGCGGUGGAGCAUGUGGUUUAAUUCGAAGCAACGCGAAGAACCUUACCAAAUCUUGACAUCCUUUGACAACUCUAGAGAUAGAGCCUUCCCCUUCGGGGGACAAAGUGACAGGUGGUGCAUGGUUGUCGUCAGCUCGUGUCGUGAGAUGUUGGGUUAAGUCCCGCAACGAGCGCAACCCUUAAGCUUAGUUGCCAUCAUUAAGUUGGGCACUCUAAGUUGACUGCCGGUGACAAACCGGAGGAAGGUGGGGAUGACGUCAAAUCAUCAUGCCCCUUAUGAUUUGGGCUACACACGUGCUACAAUGGACAAUACAAAGGGCAGCGAAACCGCGAGGUCAAGCAAAUCCCAUAAAGUUGUUCUCAGUUCGGAUUGUAGUCUGCAACUCGACUACAUGAAGCUGGAAUCGCUAGUAAUCGUAGAUCAGCAUGCUACGGUGAAUACGUUCCCGGGUCUUGUACACACCGCCCGUCACACCACGAGAGUUUGUAACACCCGAAGCCGGUGGAGUAACCAUUGGAGCUAGCCGUAGAAAGGGGGACAAAGGU